GACGAACCGUGCAAACGUUAUUCGGAAUCACUGGGCAUAAAGGGCGCGUAGGCGGCUCCAAAAGUCAGGGGUGAAAUCCGGCAGCUUAACUGUCGCAGUGCCUUUGAUACUGUGGAGCUAGAGGGAGGUAGGGGUCUGUGGAACUUCCGGUGGAGCGGUGAAAUGCGUUGAUAUCGGAAGGAACGCCGGUGGCGAAAGCGACGGACUGGAUCUCAUCUGACGCUGAGGCGCGAAAGCGUGGGGAGCAAACAGG
rnacentral:rRNA from 1 species